rnacentral:rRNA from 1 species
GCAUAUCAAUAAGCGGAGGAAAAGAAACUAACAAGGAUUCCCCUAGUAACUGCGAGUGAAGCGGGAAAAGCUCAAAUUUAAAAUCUGGUGGUCUUCGGCCAUCCGAGUUGUAAUCUAGAGAAGUGUUACCCGCGUCGGACCGUGUACAAGUCUCCUGGAAUGGAGCGUCAUAGAGGGUGAGAAUCCCGUCUUUGACACGGACUACCGAGGCUUUGUGGUGCGCUCUCAAAGAGUCGAGUUGUUUGGGAAUGCAGCUCAAAAUGGGUGGUAAAUUCCAUCUAAAGCUAAAUAUUGGCGAGAGACCGAUAGCGAACAAGUACCGUGAGGGAAAGAUGAAAAGAACUUUGGAAAGAGAGUUAAACAGUACGUGAAAUUGCUGAAAGGGAAACGCUUGAAGUCAGUCGCGUUGGCCGGAAAUCAGCCUUCCUUUUGGUUGGUGUACUUUCUGGUUGACGGGCCAGCAUCAGUUUUGACCGAUGGAUAAAGUUGUGAGGAAUGUGGCAUCUUCGGGUGUGUUAUAGCCUCGCUUCGUAUACGUCGGUUGGGACUGAGGAACUCAGCACGCCGCAAGGCCGGGGUUCGCCCACGUUCGUGCUUAGGAUGCUGGCAUAAUGGCUUUAAUCGACCCGUCUUGAAACACGGACCAAGGAGUCUAACAUGCCUGCGAGUGUUUGGGUGGAAAACCCGAGCGCGUAAUGAAAGUGAAAGUCGAGAUCCUUGUCAUGGGGAGCAUCGACGCCCGGACCAGACGUUUUCUGACGGUUCUGCGGUAGAGCAUGUAUGUUGGGACCCGAAAGAUGGUGAACUAUGCCUGAAUAGGGUGAAGCCAGAGGAAACUACUGGUGGAGGCUCGUAGCGAUUCUGACGUGCAAAUCGAUCGUCAAAUUUGGGUAUAGGGGGCGAAAGACUAAUCGAACCAUCUAGUAGCUGGUUCCUGCCGAAG